UAUGCAUCUGACUAUAAACUGAAUCGUAUUUCCUAUUUCCUUCACUGGGCUUUUUUUUUUUUUUGGUUCUGCAAUCAUUGUACCCUCUUCACAGUAACUGUACUUUAAUGAACCUGAAUUUUUUGUGGGGAGGGACAAGGUAUGAGGAUGAAUAUAUAACUUACCAUUUUUAUUGUUUGCUUGCAGAGUUGUUCAGCCGUGAACUUGACUCCUGACGGGUAGAUCCUGGGGUUUACUCAUGGUUUUCCUUGCGCUUGUAGAACCGUUGGCCUAAAGAAGGAACCAGCAAAAGCUGAUUGAAUCACUGAUGCCACAGCCCUUAGGGCAGCCGCCUCUGAAAGACUUUUUGGCCAAAGUUUUAUGUGAAGAUCAUCUGCAUCUUCGUACCAGAAAGCUCUGGUUUGCUUGGUACCCUUCUCCAGAGGAGCCAGCCUGAGACACUUGGCAGGUUGCACCCUCCUCUUAUGAAGCUGCCCUGGCAUUUGUACUCGGACAGAUACUAAAUUCCUUGUCUUUGAUCAGUGUUCCUUCAGAAAUAUUGUUGUGAUAUUUUCUUUAUAACAAAAGGAAAUAAAUUCCCAUGCUUUGUGUUAUAAAGCCAAUAAAAGCC
rnacentral:lncRNA from 1 species